rnacentral:rRNA from 1 species
GUGGGGAAUUUUGGACAAUGGGCGCAAGCCUGAUCCAGCAAUGCCGCGUGCAGGAAGAAGGCCUUCGGGUUGUAAACUGCUUUUGUACGGAACGAAACGGUCCGGGUUAAUACCCUGGGCUAAUGACGGUACCGUAAGAAUAAGCACCGGCUAACUACGUGCCAGCAGCCGCGGUAAUACGUAGGGUGCAAGCGUUAAUCGGAAUUACUGGGCGUAAAGCGUGCGCAGGCGGUUUUGUAAGACAGGCGUGAAAUCCCCGGGCUCAACCUGGGAAUUGCGCUUGUGACUGCAAGGCUGGAGUGCGGCAGAGGGGGAUGGAAUUCCGCGUGUAGCAGUGAAAUGCGUAGAUAUGCGGAGGAACACCGAUGGCGAAGGCAAUCCCCUGGGCCUGCACUGACGCUCAUGCACGAAAGAGUGGGGAGCAAACAGGAUUAGAAACCCCGGUAGUCC